CCGCUGUCUCCAAGGCAGAAACAAGAUGGCAAAGGGGCAGGAUGAAGGAAAAGGGUGCUCAACCCAUGGUAGCCAGGAAGCAGAGUGAAGGGAGGAGCCAGGGACAAGAACACACUCUUCCAGGUCAUAGCCCCAGUGACCCACCUCCCACCAGGUCCCCCUAGUAACAACACAUUCAGCUACUGAACUCAUCAAUGAAUGAAUCCACUGAUGAGUAAAGCAUCGUAUCCAAUCGCCUUCCACAUACAUGAGAAUUUGGGGAAUAUUUUGAACCAUAACCAUAAGGAUCCUUCAUUACAGUGGCAAGAAGUAAAGUUGAGACUGAAGAUCCACUUCAGCUCAAGAGAAAGCAGCAUCUUGACUGUCUGAGCUGUCACAAGAGAUGAUUUUCCUGUCAUUACGUAUAUUCCAAGGAAAUACAAUGUCAUGAUUAUAAAAUGGAGGAUCAAUGACAGAUGGCCAUUGGGUUGGUGUAAUGAGGACCCUUUAGAAGACUAUUCAUCCUGCAAAAGCCUCCUUAGCUCCACCAUAAACAUCCACAGAGGAUGUCCCAGGGUCCUCAAAGAAAGUCAUUUGCCUACUAUCAAUACAAGUAUGAUUGCACCAGGUAAGUGAAAAAUAAAG
rnacentral:lncRNA from 1 species